rnacentral:rRNA from 1 species
GAUGAACGCUGGCGUCGUGCCUAAUACAUGAAAGUCGAACGAAGAUCUAGCUUUCUAGAUCUUAGUGGCGAACGGGUGAGUAAUACAUAAAUAAUCUGCCCAUAUGACUGGGAUAACUAUUGGAAACGAUAGCUAAUACCGGAUAGGUUGAUCGGAGGCAUCUCUGAUGAAUUAAAGUAGGAUUUCUACACAAAUGGAUGAGUUUAUGGCGCAUUAGUUAGUUGGUGGGGUAACGGCCUACCAAGACGAUGAUGCGUAGCCGGCCUGAGAGGGGAACCGGCCACACUGGGACUGAGACACGGCCCACACUCCUACGGGAGGCAGCAGUAGGUAAUUUUCGGCAAUGGGCGCAGGACUGGCCGAGCAACGCCGCGUGAGUGAUUAAGGCCUUCGGGUUGUAAAGCGCUGUUGUAAGGGAAGAACAUUCAGGAUAGGAAAUGAUCUUGAACUGACGGUACCUUACCAGAAAGCCACGGCUAACUACGUGCCAGCCGCCGCCGUAAAAC